rnacentral:tRNA from 1 species
GCCCAGGUGGCGGAAUUGGUAGACGCGCAGCGUUCAGGUCGCUGUGUCCGUAAGGAUGUGCGAGUUCGAGUCUCGCUCUGGGCACCA